AUAAUAUGCAGUUUAAAACCGCUUGCCAAUUUGUCAGAAGGAGCAGUCAAUGUCAACAAUAAUUAAAAGCAUUAAUUCACAUAAAAUUUGCCGCCUUACCCCGCAAGGCAAUGGAAGCUGUCAAAAUUAAUAAAAUAUAUAAAAACUACGACGCAUGCGACCGGUGUUCUAUUAUACGAAAAAUUUCAAGAUUAUUCUCAACAUGGGAUAAGUAUCAUUUGGAAACAGGAAAAAAGUAAUUAUAUAAGGUAGUCAAACCAAUAUACAAAUAUUAUUCCUCGAAUACAUUUUAGAUAAAACACAUACAAUCCAACAGUAAGUUUCGCAAAUAAUCACAAUUUAAUCUUAUCUCGUGAUUUAUAUCAUUAAAGACGUUAAACUAGA